rnacentral:rRNA from 1 species
UACGUAGGGGGCAAGCGUUGUCCGGAAUCAUUGGGCGUAAAGAGCGCGUAAGCGGUCCGGUAAGUCGGUUGUGAAAACUGGGGGCUCAACCCUCAGAGGCCGACCGAUACUGUCGGGCUAGAGUCCGGAAGAGGCGAGUGGAAUUCCUGGUGUAGCGGUGAAAUGCGCAGAUAUCAGGAGGAACACCAAUGGCGAAGGCAGCUCGCUGGGACGGUACUGACGCUGAGGCGCGAAAGCGUGGGGAGCAAACAGG